rnacentral:rRNA from 1 species
GAUGAACGCUGGCGGCGUGCCUAAUACAUGCAAGUCGAGCGAACAGACGAGGAGCUUGCUCCUCUGACGUUAGCGGCGGACGGGUGGGUAACACGUGGAUAACCUACCUAUAAGACUGGGAUAACUUCGGGAAACCGGAGCUAAUACCGGAUAAUAUAUUGAACCGCAUGGUUCAAUAGUGAAAGACGGUUUUGCUGUCACUUAUAGUUGGAUCCGCGCCGCAUUAGCUAGUUGGUAAGGUAACGGCUUACCAAGGCAACGAUGCGUAGCCGACCUGAGAGGGUGAUCGGCCACACUGGAACUGAGACACGGUCCAGACUCCUACGGGAGGCAGCAGUAGGGAAUCUUCCGCAAUGGGCGAAAGCCUGACGGAGCAACGCCGCGUGAGUGAUGAAGGUCUUCGGAUCGUAAAACUCUGUUAUUAGGGAAGAACAAAUGUGUAAGUAACUAUGCACGUCUUGACGGUACCUAAUCAGAAAGCCACGGCUAACUACGUG